UACAGAGGGUGCAAGCGUUGUUCGGAAUUAUUGGGCGUAAAGCGCGUGUAGGCGGCUUGGCAAGUCGGGUGUGAAAUCCCUCAGCUUAACUGAGGAGGUGCGCCCGAAACUGCCGAGCUUGAGUACCGGAGAGGGUGGCGGAAUUCCCCAAGUAGAGGUGAAAUUCGUAGAUAUGGGGAGGAACACCGGUGGCGAAGGCGGCCACCUGGACGGAUACUGACGCUGAGACGCGAAAGCGUGGGGAGCAAACAGG
rnacentral:rRNA from 1 species